GACGAACGCUGGCGGCGUGCUUAACACAUGCAAGUCGAACGGUGACCCUCGGAGCUUGCUUCGGGGUGAGCAGUGGCGAACGGGUGAGUAACACGUGAGUAACCUGCCCCUGACUCUAGAAUAAGCGCUGGAAACGGCGUCUAAUACCGGAUACGACACGCCUCCGCAUGGGGAGCGUGUGGAAAGUUUUUCGGUCUGGGAUGGACUCGCGGCCUAUCAGCUUGUUGGUGAGGUAAUGGCUCACCAAGGCGAUGACGGGUAGCCGGCCUGAGAGGGCGACCGGCCACACUGGGACUGAGACACGGCCCAGACUCCUACGGGAGGCAGCAGUGGGGAAUAUUGCACAAUGGGCGAAAGCCUGAUGCAGCGACGCCGCGUGAGGGAUGACGGCCUUCGGGUUGUAAACCUCUUUCAGCAGGGAAGAAGCGAAAGUGACGGUACCUGCAGAAGAAGCACCGGCUAACUACGUGCCAGCCGCCGCCGUAAGAC
rnacentral:rRNA from 1 species